UACGUAGGUGGCAAGCGUUAUCCGGAAUUAUUGGGCGUAAAGCGCGCGCAGGCGGUCACUUAAGUCUGACGUGAAAGCCCACGGCUCAACCGUGGAGGGUCAUUGGAAACUGGGAGACUUGAGUACAGAAGAGGAAAGUGGAAUUCCAUGUGUAGCGGUGAAAUGCGUAGAGAUGUGGAGGAACACCAGUGGCGAAGGCGACUUUCUGGUCUGUAGCUGACGCUGAGGUGCGAAAGCGUGGGUAGCAAACAGG
rnacentral:misc_RNA from 1 species